rnacentral:rRNA from 1 species
GUAGUCAUAUGCUUGUCUCAAAGAUUAAGCCAUGCAUGUCUAAGUAUAAGCAAUUUGUACAGUGAAACUGCGAAUGGCUCAUUAAAUCAGUUAUAGUUUAUUUGAUAGUACCUUACUACUUGGAUAACCGUGGUAAUUCUAGAGCUAAUACAUGCUAAAAAUCCCGACCCCCAGGAAGGGAUGUAUUUAUUAGAUAAAAAACCAAUGGCUUCGGCCUCGUUGGUGAUUCAUGAUAACUAAACGGAUCGCAUGGCCUUGCGCCGGCGACGGUUCAUUCAAAUUUCUGCCCUAUCAACUUUCGAUGGUAGGAUAGUGGCCUACCAUGGUUUCAACGGGUAACGGGGAAU